GUUAUGAUAAACUGAUCAUGCUGCAACUAACCUUAGGCCAAAAAUAGUACGAAUAAUAACUAUGUUUGAUGCCUAAUGCUAUUCCUAUUGAGACCUUACCCGAGUAUGUUGUGAUCAAUUCUGAAAGCUCUCAUUGUGGCCAGGAAAUCUACUAGUUAAGAAAUUGGUGUAUUUGGUUUAAAAUUUCCUCCUCGUUCCUUUCCGUGUCUCACCAACUUUUGACUCUGUUCCUGUUGCAUAUUUUUCUCUACUUACUGAGCAGAAGUGCAUCUUUUUUUCUUUGUUUAAACUCCAUGUUAUUGCAUGGCUUAACUUUUUUCUGAUUCCUUGAUUGUUUACUUCGUUAUCUUGGGAAAUUUCAAGACAAAAAGCCAUUAGCCACAUAGUUUUUAACACUAUUGUCGUGUGCCAAUCAUUUGUCUUAGGAUUCCUGUAUUUGUCCUCUAUAGAAAGCCGGUGAAUUGGAGUGGCAUGUGAAGUUAAUCCAAUUGUACUCCUUUAUUACAGAGACAGGAAGUGUUUGCUAUGAAAAGGACAUGGAGAGGAAAAGGCUUACCUGAUUGGUUGCUUG
rnacentral:lncRNA from 1 species